rfam:Oryza sativa Indica Group cultivar 93-11 Ctg042899, whole genome shotgun sequence.
CGGCUGAACAAGCCCUGCAUUAAAUGCCAACUUUUAGCGCACGGCUCUCUCCCAAGAGCCAUUUCCCUAGACCGAAUAUAGGAAUCGUAUUCGGUCUUUUUUU